rnacentral:rRNA from 1 species
UCAUGGCUCAGAUUGAACGCUGGCGGCAGGCCUAACACUUGCAAGUCGAGCGGUAACAGGAGAAAGCUUGCUUUCUUGCUGACGAGCGGCGGACGGGUGAGUAUUGUAUGGGGAUCUGCCCGAUAGAGGGGGAUAACUACUGGAAACGGUGGCUAAUACCGCAUAAUGUCUACGUACCAAAGCAUGGGCUCUUCGGACCUUGCACUAUCGGAUGAACCCAUAUGGGAUUAGCUAGUAGGUGGGG